rnacentral:rRNA from 1 species
GAUGAACGCUGGCGGCGUGCCUAAUACAUGCAAGUCGAGCGAACAGACGAGGAGCUUGCUCCUCUGACGUUAGCGGCGGACGGGUGAGUAACACGUGGAUAACCUACCUAUAAGACUGGGAUAACUUCGGGAAACCGGAGCUAAUACCGGAUAAUAUAUUGAACCGCAUGGUUCAAUAGUGAAAGACGGUUUUGCUGUCACUUAUAGAUGGAUCCGCGCCGCAUUAGCUAGUUGGUAAGGUAACGGCUUACCAAGGCAACGAUGCGUAGCCGACCUGAGAGGGUGAUAGGCCACAAUGGAACUGAGACACGGUCCAGACUCCUAAGGGAGGCAGCAGUAGGGAAUCUUCCGCAAUGGGCGAAAGCCUGACGGAGCAACGCCGCGUGAGUGAUGAAGGUCUUCGGAUCGUAAAACUCUGUUAUUAGGGAAGAACAAAUGUGUAAGUAACUAUGCACGUCUUGACGGUACCUAAUCAGAAAGCCACGGCUAACUACGUG